rnacentral:misc_RNA from 1 species
GGCAACAAUCAGAAACUGAAGUCAACAAUGGCGGAAGAUUCGAAUUUGCAGAAAAAUGUUCAUCUGGAAAUUUUGCAAAAUGGAAAUAGUUUGUUGUCCGAAAAAGAAAUUAAAAAUUUUGUUGCUAAAUGGUUGCUCUCGCAAUCAAACUUAAUACAUGAAAAUGUUAUUUCAAUUUUUGAUGAUCAAAAUUUAGCAGAGCAUGUGAAUAGUAUUUCAGUCUAUGAAGAUUUUGAAAUUCCCACAAAUGGGACAUAUCCUAAAAUAUUUUAUCAUAUUUAUCGUUUUAACUCGAGUGCUCCUGAAAUGGAAGAACUAGAUGAUGAUCAGCGAAUAAGUACAAACUGGAUAUUGCCAACACAAGAAUUCCAUGGUCUAUGGGAUUCACUUAUUUAUGAUUCUGGAGUAAAGGAUGAAUUGUUAAACUAUGUUUCCACAGCUCUUCACUUUUCAGAGCAGUGUGUUGAUCCAAAUAUAGUUUCUUGUAACAGAGUAGUUCUACUGCAUGGCCCUCCUGGCACUGGAAAAACUUCACUUUGUAAAGCAUUAGCUCAGAAAAUCUGUAUCAGAUAUUCAUCAAAGUUUACUUAUGGGCAACUGGUUGAAGUAAAUACACAGUGUCUUUUCUCAAGGUGGUUUUCAGAGAGUGGAAAGUUGGUGAUCAGAAUGUUUCAGAAUAUAUUAAAACUAGUUGAAGAUUCUAAUGUUCUAGUAAUAGUUCUUCUAGAUGAAGUUGAAACUCUUGCUCGCUCUCGUACGUCUGCAUUAAAUGGUAAUGAGCCAUCCGAUGCUUUGCGGGCUGUCAAUGCUUUACUUACACAUUUAGAUAUGAUAAAGAAGUAUCCUAAUGUUUUAAUCUUAACAACUUCAAAUAUCACUGAAGCCAUUGAUGUUGCGCUCAUUGACCGUGCUGAUGUAAAACAAUAUAUUGGCCUACCAUCAGUUGAAGCUAUAUAUCAAAUAUAUUACAGUUGUGUUAAGGAAUUACAAAAAGUUGGAAUCAUUCGCACAUCACAGACUGUUUUAGAAUUACCAAGACUGAGUGCAGUUCUCAAACUUAAGACAUUGCAGGAUGAGCAUAUAAAUUCUGAUUUACUUAGUGAAGUCAAUCUUGAUAAAAGUUUGUUGCUGAACUCAAUUGCAAAGUAAAAAAAGUAUUGGACUCAGUGGCCGAACGUUAAGAAAAAUGCCAUUUGUAGCUUAUUCUUUAUUUAUUAAAACACCCUUGGUUAGUCUUGAUGUGUUUUUGGAUGCUCUUUCGAAAGCAGUAGACC